GAUGAACGCUGGCGGCGUGCUUACCACAUGCAAGUCGACCGAUAAGCCCAGCCUGCUGGGUUGGUUAUGUGCGAACCGGUUGGGUAAACCGUAAGUAACUUCCCUUUAUUUUUGGAUUAGCCUUGGGAAGUAAGUCUAAUACCGGAACGGAUCCCCUUCCGCACUGUGGGGUUUUGAAAUGUUUAACGGUUUUGGAUGGACUUGCGGCCCAUUAGCUUGUUGGUUAGGUAAUUGCUCACCAAGGGGGCGACGGGUAGCCGGCCUGAGAGGGGGACCGGGCACACUGGGACUGAGAGACGGACCAGAAUCCUACGGGCGGCAGCAGUGGGGAAUAUUGCACAAUGGGCGAAAGCCUGAUGCAGCGACGCCGCGUGAGGGAUGACGGCCUUCGGGUUGUAAACAUCUUUCAGUAGGGAAGAAGCGAAAGUGACGGUACCUGCAGAAGAAGCACCGGCUAACUACGUG
rnacentral:rRNA from 1 species